rnacentral:rRNA from 1 species
AAGGGAGCUUGCUCCCGGAUGUUAGCGGCGGACGGGUGAGUAACACGUGGGUAACCUGCCUGUAAGACUGGGAUAACUCCGGGAAACCGGAGCUAAUACCGGAUAGUUCCUUGAACCGCAUGGUUCAAGGAUGAAAGACGGUUUCGGCUGUCACUUACAGAUGGACCCGCGGCGCAUUAGCUAGUUGGUGAGGUAACGGCUCACCAAGGCGACGAUGCGUAGCCGACCUGAGAGGGUGAUCGGCCACACUGGGACUGAGACACGGCCCAGACUCCUACGGGAGGCAGCAGUAGGGAAUCUUCCGCAAUGGACGAAAGUCUGACGGAGCAACGCCGCGUGAGUGAUGAAGGUUUUCGGAUCGUAAAGCUCUGUUGUUAGGGAAGAACAAGUGCAAGAGUAACUGCUUGCACCUUGACGGUACCUAACCAGAAAGCCACGGCUAACUACGUGCCAGCAGCCGCGGUAAUACGUAGGUGGCAAGCGUUGUCCGGAAUUAUUGGGCGUAAAGGGCUCGCAGGCGGUUUCUUAAGUCUGAUGUGAAAGCCCCCGGCUCAACCGGGGAGGGUCAUUGGAAACUGGGAAACUUGAGUGCAGAAGAGGAGAGUGGAAUUCCACGUGUAGCGGUGAAAUGCGUAGAGAUGUGGAGGAACACCAGUGGCGAAGGCGACUCUCUGGUCUGUAACUGACGCUGAGGAGCGAAAGCGUGGGGAGCGAACAGGAUUAGAUACCCUGGUAGU